GUCAAGAAGAGUGUGGUUUUCCAUUUCUGUGCCUAAUACCUAGUUACUGUUGGCAAGGGUGGACUAUCAUUUUGCUGACCAGGAUUGAAAUGUAAAACAGAAAACCUGAGAGGGAAGAAGUAACACUAUAGAGAAAAAAAUUCAUAAUGUAAAAAGGUCUGCAUGGAAGAGGAUUGAAGAGCCAGAUGGAGGAGAGCCAAGAAGUUUGGAGCAGGUUUUGUGGAUUGAAGAGUACAGAUGUGUGCAGCAACAGUUUUGUCAGGCGCAGCAGUUAUAAGUCAUGUUCUGGCUUUGCAUCCUAGAAUUGAUAUCAAGUUUUCAUACAUAUUUGUUCCAUAUGAGACUUCCAAAAAAAUUCAGGAGUGCCAGUUCCAAGGGAGAUGAAGGAGUCCUGUGGGUGAUCAUGUUGACAGGAGGACUAACAAGAUCAUAG
rnacentral:lncRNA from 13 species